CCUCCUUUUCUUGGCGGGUAUCGGGCGUGCGGUCCCGAUGCCCGUAAUGUUCGGAGGCAGAGGGCAAGGGCGCCUCGCCCCUCGGCGUCAUGUCUUCGGUGCCGGCGGCUUCCCAUCCGCCGGUUCUAUCCUCAAGCGCCGGGACACGC
ensembl:snoRNA